UCUCUCUCUCUUGUUGAAUUCACUCAUUAAAAUCCUCUUAUUUCAUCAAUUUCUCUGGUUUUUCUUAUGGAUUAUUGUCAUAUUUCAUCUGGGUCUGCGUUUGUUUUGCCAGAUCUUGGUUAUUUGAUCGGUUGUUUUGAUAAUUGAUGCUUCGACAUGUUAUUGGGUGUUUAUUUUUAAUACAUAUUUUUGGAAUAAGUAAUUGGGUUCGAGUUGUUAUUCUAAGUAAUUGAGUGGAACCGCGCAAAAUAAUAAUAAUUGAGUGGAUAUGGAUGAGUUGGAGGCUGAUUGAUUGGUUCAAAUGAAUUUGUUGAUUUUUGUGAUACAGUGACUGAAAUUGUUGAUUCUAUGCUUUAUAGGGAUCUGAUAUUUUGGGUGUCUUUGAGUAUCAAAACAUGGUCAUAUAAGUGUUUGUUAUGCAUAAUAAUUUGGGGUUUUUAAGUCCUGUUGAUAGAUUUUUCAGUAUAAUUAGGUCCCAUGACUUUUUAGUUGAGAGAUCAUAUUGAUUUUGCUCUUUAAUAGGUAAGUCCUGUUUUUCAAAUUUUAGUUAAGAGUGUUUGUAGAGAGGUGGCUUACAAGAAACUUUUAUUGAACAAUAUGAGGGGGAGCUACUCGAAGUCUCCCUCAUUUUUGUCUAUUUCGAAUCAUUCUGUUAUAUUGAAGUUUAUUGAUUAAUUUUAUUUUUUUCCUUUCCUUGCUUUCUUCCUUUUUUUUUUUGAAAAAUUCAUCUUGCCCGUGAAUUUAUUCACUUAGAACCAGUAGCUCAAUCUUAUUGGUAUAAACCGUAUAUUUGCUAGUGGCAUGAUCUCUAUAGUGAAGACUGAACUCUUUAUGGCAAGUCAAGCUAUGGAUUCUGCUACCAUGCCCUGUUUGGCAGCCAACUUUUUGGUUAAAAAAGCCAAAAAACCUCAAAAAAGUCAAAAUAUCGCAUCAUACAUAUCGAUCACUUUUUUCCUCUCAACUAUCUAUUCAACUAAAAAAAUAUUCCAAAUACACUAACUUUUUUUCACCUCAUAAAAAGCCAAAAAGCUACUAAAAAAAAAUCAAGUUGCCAAACGGGCACCAUAUGAUAUAUAUCAUUAUAUUAAGUAGUUAUUAAGUUUUAAAUGCAUUGUAGAACUUUUUUUUUCCUAAUCUUUCUUCUCCUCGCUAGUUGGUAAAUAUGAUUUUAGUGAAAAAAAUUUACUUACCCUGUGACAUAAGCGACUUGAAUAACUUACUCUGAUUGUGGUCUCUUUGCUAAGCACUCCAAAUCUGGUGCAGUUACAUUCUUUUGUGUAACAACAUGAACCAAGUCCUUCCUACGCAUGCUAAUCGAGGCUACUUCAGCAGUCUUCACAAUCUCGAAAGUAAGCAAGCUAUUUAUUAUGGGAAGGAAAAAAAAAAAGGAUUUACAAUGAAGCUCCAGACAUGACAAAAGGCAACACCCUUCAAUUUACUGGCCCAACUACCAAACUCUACGUGGAGCUUUCAACAUUCGCUAUGCAACUCUAUUCAUUCCAUCAUUCUAUACACGUGAAGAAGAGAAGAGGAAAGGAAAGGACCUAUGCCCUAAUAAAACGAGGAAACACUCAUACUAAAAAAUCAACUACCUAGUUGAUCUAUGUAACGUCGGUUGUGUCAAAUCCAUCCGUUGCCCCACUCUUUACUGGCCUUGUUUGGUGUAGAUUAUUGGAAGCUAAAAGUUAAUAAUCGGAAAGCUAGAGCUAAACCUCUCCCCCAACUUUUAGAUAAUUAGCCUUUUUUAGCUAAUUGAAGUUAUUUCUGCUUGAUAAGCUAUGUAGAAACUGCACCGAACAAUCUGCAAGACUCUCAAAAUAAAAUGAACUAUAAUUCCCUCUUUUAAGUUGUAACACUCCCUGCUGGCUCCUUUUGGAAUAGAGUAGUCCAAGUAAUUGCCUCUAUCACUAAAGGUAACAAAGAGUUACCAAGGACUUUAGUACUAAACUAGUUAACUCAUUAAAGUCCAUUAGAGUGUUUAAAAUUCCUUGGCUACAUCCGUCCCCUUAAUGUUUACAUUAUAAAGAGAGAAUGCAAAUUCAAGCAUUUAUGAUUAUUUAUUUCUUUUAUUUCUUCUCUUAUUUUUUAGAUACAAAUAUUAAGCAAAUUCAAAAUUUUAUAUUUUAUUUUAAAUGAAAAUUAAUAAUUUCACCAAGGUGUGUUGAUACUUAAUCAUGAACCAACCCUUUAUGCUGUGUGCAUGCUGCUUUAAGCACUGCAUGGUAUAUUCUGUUGUUCAUUUCUUUCUUCCAGUUGUAUGUUUUUUAGGGUCUUUUGGUUUGUACAGUUCUUUUUAGCUUUCAUGGCCUAUAAGCCUUUUCAUUCUCUUACAAGGUGUGUAAGAUAUUUCUCUCUUUGUUGCCUCUUUUGUAAUGUCCAGGCUUUUUGCGUCUGCUCAAGUCGCCCAUUCUUGUUAAAUUAUGUGGUCCUUGAACAACUUUUUCCAGUCCUAGUUUUUCUUAUCUUUGCUUUCUUUUGUCUCUUUAUUGUUUUGUAUCUAGUUUCUUUUUCUGCAAGGUGUACAGUUUCAGUUGCUGGUAGUUUAGAUUCUCUUUAGGUCUUUGCUGUUUUGUAUUUUAGGUCCUGGGUCAUUCCCCUUGUGUUUUCUGUAAUUCUCUUUGUUCUAUUUUAUGACUUAUUUCACCUGGAAAAAAAAAA